rnacentral:rRNA from 1 species
GACGUAGGGGGCAAGCGUUGUCCGGAAUCAUUGGGCGUAAAGCGCUCGUAGGCGGCCAACUAAGUCGGAUGUGAAAUCCCCAGGCUUAACUUGGGAACUGCAUCCGAUACUGGAUGGCUUGAAUCCGGGAGAGGGAUGCGGAAUUCCAGGUGUAGCGGUGAAAUGCGUAGAUAUCUGGAGGAACACCGGUGGCGAAGGCGGCAUCCUGGACCGGCAUUGACGCUGAUGAGCGAAAGCCAGGGGAGCAAACGGG